GCAAUUUGCCCUAUUAGGCUAGAGGGUAUGGGGUUCGUCCCCAUCCCCGUCGAGCUCUGGCGACGCCGGCAACCCAUCCCGUCCCCACCUCCGUCGAGCUCCGUCCCAUCCUCACCGGCUUGUGCUGGACGUUGGCGACGAUCCUAAGUUGGUGGGCCCCCUUCACUUUUUGACCGUUAAUCAACAAACCAGUUUCAUCACAACUUCCAAACCCUAAUUUCAACUGUGCAACAACACUUGAUCAUCAUCAACAAUGGACAAAUCGAAGAUCGGAAGACGAUUCGAAGGCAAAGUUGCGGUCGUUACAGCUUCAACUCAAGGUGCAAAGGCUUCUCAUGCAGCAUAAAUAUCAUAGCUAUCAAAGGCGCAAUGCGCACUCCAGGUGCAAAGGGCGCAUAGCAUCUCAAAAUUUACCAACUUCCAAUCGGUUUGACCCGUUGCGUUUAUCAACUACUUUUUCUUCCUGGUUGCAUUCAGAACUAGUUACAACAUAUCUACACUUUAUUUCGGAAGCUUUGAUGUAAAUAACUCAUAAUGAACGGGUUCGUCAAUAUGUUUUUUUUU